AUGACUGACUCCCCAGGGACAUGAGGUGGAUACUGUUCAUUGGGGCCCUUAUUGGGUCCAGCAUCUGUGGCCAAGAAAAAUUUUUUGGGGACCAAGUUUUUAGGAUUAAUGUCAGAAAUGGAGACGAGAUCAGCAAAUUGAGUCAACUAGUGAAUUCAAACAACUUGAAGCUCAAUUUCUGGAAAUCUCCCUCCUCCUUCAAUCGGCCUGUGGAUGUCCUGGUCCCAUCUGUCAGUCUGCAGGCAUUUAAAUCCUUCCUGAGAUCCCAGGGCUUAGAGUACGCAGUGACAAUUAAGGACCUGCAGGUAGGUAGACUAUGCCCCCUGCCUCCUGGUCUUGCAUAGGACCAGGCAGCCAGUCCAGAGUAGACCGGAGCGAUUUGCAAGUUCUGGUUUUAUCCUUUUCUAUUUUAUAGACCAGGAAAUGGAGGCAAAUGGAAGUAAAGUGCAGUGACUUGUUAGAGGAACAAAAUUUUGUAGUAGAAAGGGCAUAAAUAGGCCAGGGAACCACACAGAUUUGGAUCCAAAUCCUGAUUUUGCUAACUACUAGUGCUGU
rnacentral:sRNA from 1 species